GAUGAACGCUGGCGGCGUGCCUAAUACAUGCAAGUCGAGCGAACGGACGAGAAGCUUGCUUCUCUGAUGUUAGCGGCGGACGGGUGAGUAACACGUGGAUAACCUACCUAUAAGACUGGGAUAACUUCGGGAAACCGGAGCUAAUACCGGAUAAUAUUUUGAACCGCAUGGUUCAAAAGUGAAAGACGGUCUUGCUGUCACUUAUAGAUGGAUCCGCGCUGCAUUAGCUAGUUGGUAAGGUAACGGCUUACCAAGGCAACGAUGCAUAGCCGACCUGAGAGGGUGACCGGCCACACUGGAACUGAGACACGGUCCAGACUCCUACGGGAGGCAGCAGUAGGGAAUCUUCGGCAAUGGGCGAAAGCCUGACGGAGCAACGCCGCGUGUGUGAUGAAGGUCUUCGGAUCGUAAAGCUCUGUUAUUAGGGAAGAACAUAUGUGUAAGUAACUGUGCACAGCUUGACGGUACCGGAUCAGAAAGCCACGGCUAACUACGUG
rnacentral:rRNA from 1 species